rnacentral:rRNA from 1 species
UACGUAGGGGGCAAGCGUUGUCCGGAUUUAUUGGGCGUAAAGAGCGUGUAGGCGGCCAGGUAGGUCUGCUGUGAAAACUCGAGGCUUAACCUCGAGAUGUCGGCGGAAACCAUCUGGCUAGAGUCCGGAAGAGGAGAGUGGAAUUCCUGGUGUAGCGGUGAAAUGCGCAGAUAUCUGGAGGAAUACCGGUGGCGAAGGCGGCAUCCUGGACCGACAUUGACGCUGAACGGCGAAAGCUAGGGGAGCAAACGGG